GUACCUGUAGCGCAAUGGAUAGCGUGUUGGACCUCUAAUCCAAAGGUUGUGGGUUCGACUCCCACCUGGGAUG
rnacentral:tRNA from 1 species